GUCAAUAUUAGGCACCUGGUAAUGGUAAAAUGCUAAAUCAGUGACAAGACAAAAAUUCAUUGCUUCAUAUAUUGACACAUUUCAGCAAAAUUUCAAAUAUGAUUGUCAGCUGAAAAUUUAGACAUAAUUCACCAACUGACAGAGUGAGAAGCAAUUCUUUGUGAUGGUUGAAGUUGUGGAAUUAUUUUAGUUAUGACUAUGCUUGUGAAAAUGGAAGUUUAAAAACUCCAGUUAAAAUAAAACUGGUUAAAUCAAUUUUCUAAUCACAUUUCAUUUAGAUGUUUCAUGAACAUAUUCAUGUAUUUGUGGAUAGAGGUAUUAUGAAAGGACCCAGAGAAAGGCAUUUGCAGCCCUAAGGCCAUAUUCAAACAUUCUUUGACUGUUUUGAAAUUCAUUUAUUUCCAUGUUGAAAUAUUGUGAAAAAAAAAAUGAAUAAUUAUUUUCAUCACAACUGAUUCCUUUUUUUCAAAUAUGAUAUCACAAAGUUGGUGAAGUUAUACAUUUUCCUUGAAAAUUGUCAAAAAUGUAGACUUUAUAGAAAUCUUUUCAGAUAGAAAUCAUGGGUUGUCCAAAAUCAUUUUCAUAUAAAAUAUAUGCAACACACUGAUAUGAUGAUUAACGAUCUUACCAAUGCAGGCCGUAGUCCAUAUUUUCUGAACAAAAACUGCUUAGAAUUAUGGUAUUUUUUGGCAUUCUAAAAGAAAUGGCAAGAAAUGUAUGCAUUUGUGACAAAAUUAAUACAAAGUAAAUUCCAAAUUCCUUAUUAAAAUCAUAAUUUGUUUUGUGUACAUAUCCCACAUACUUAACAACUUUAUUGGAAAAAAACAACCUAACAAUCCACAACUUCUAUAAUUAAUGUAGUUCAAGAUUUUAAGCCAGAAAGGGGAUUGUUUUACUUUGUUUUCAAAUUCAUAGAGUAUGAUUGGUGUUCUGUAGAUACUGCACUAGUAUUAUUUUACUUAUAUCUAUAUAUCAUGUCUUUUUAUACCAAUCAGUAUUAUGUUUACUUUGCACUUUACACUUUCAUGUUAUUCAUCAUAUGCAGUAUUUGAUUAUUGUUCAGUAUUUCUGAUUUGUUGCUCACAUAUCAUGCAAGACUUUAAUAAAUUGUUUAAAAUUCA